rnacentral:sRNA from 12 species
CACGUGGACUGUUAUAUCAAACCGUAGUAGAUACUCUUACAGUUUCAAGGCGGGACAGGAAGAAGCGUGAA